AGAGAUGGAUUUCUUCAGCUCGGCUGGCGUCCACACAGGUGCUGCAUGGCUGUCGUCAGCUCGUGUCGUGAGAUGUUGGGUUAAGUCCCGCAACGAGCGCAACCCUCGCCUUCAGUUGCCAUCAUUCAGUUGGGCACUCUGAAGGAACUGCCGGUGACAAGCCGGAGGAAGGUGGGGAUGACGUCAAGUCCUCAUGGCCCUUACGGCCUGGGCUACACACGUGCUACAAUGGUCGGUACAAAGGGUUGCCAAGCCGCGAGGUGGAGCUAAUCCCAUAAAACCGAUCGUAGUCCGGAUCGCAGUCUGCAACUCGACUGCGUGAAGUCGGAAUCGCUAGUAAUCGUGAAUCAGAAUGUCACGGUGAAUACGUUCCCGGGCCUU
rnacentral:rRNA from 1 species